GUAACAGGUUUCGGUAGUGAACUUGGGAAGGAUCAUUGUCGAAACCUGCACCGCAGAACGACCCGCGAACACGUAAAGCAACACGGGGCGAGCGGCUCCCGGGGCGCAAGCCCCUCGCGCCGCGAACCCACGGACGGGGUCCUCCCUCGGGCGUCCCCCGUCCGGCUAACCAACCCCGGCGCGGCAAGCGCCAAGGAAUUAAAAACCGAACGAGGCCGUCUCUCCCCCGUUCGCGGGCGGCGGAGGCGUCUUGUCCUAAAAACAAAACGACUCUCGGCAACGGAUAUCUCGGCUCUCGCAUCGAUGAAGAACGUAGCGAAAUGCGAUACUUGGUGUGAAUUGCAGAAUCCCGUGAACCAUCGAGUCUUUGAACGCAAGUUGCGCCCGAAGCCACUCGGCCGAGGGCACGUCUGCCUGGGCGUCACGCAUCGCGUCGCCCCCCCCACCCGUCGGCCUCGAAAGGGGUCGGGGCGGAGGGGCGGAGAAUGGCCUCCCGUGCCUCGGGGCGCGGUUGGCCCAAACGUCAGCCCGCGGCGACGGACGUCACGACAAGUGGUGGUUUGACAAAGGCCCUCGCAUGUUGUCGUGCGGUGAUCCGUCGUCGGCGUGAGCUCGUGCGACCCUGUUGCCACGCCGUGCUCGGCGCGCGCUCCGACCGCGACCCCAGGUCAAGCGGGACUACCCGCUGAGUUUAAG
rnacentral:rRNA from 1 species